GGUGAAAUUGGGGAAAUCAACUCCAAAAGCCUUCUACGAGAACUAGUAACCCGGUUGAGUUGCAGAUUAGUGUGGACCCCUGUAGCCCAGCAAGCUCUGAACAGAAGAGAAGUACAGGUUGAGGUCUACUCUAUCUUAGAAUAGAUACUCUGGAAGGAGGACUUCCUUAUGUAUUAAGUUUGAUAUUGAUGUUGUAGUUUGAUGUUGCA